AUUCUCCCUCUAACCCACCAUACCCUCUCUGUCUCUUACAUACACCACCUGAUACCCAACAUAUCCUCUCAUCUCUAUCUCUAUCCUUCUAUACCUUACCUUUCCUGUCUUAACACCACCCACCAUCAUCGCCCCCCCUUCAUGAGAGACCUACUAUACCACCACCAUCGCCACCAACAAUCAGAAAAACCCACCACCAUUGCCGUCGAUUAAAAGCGACGAGAUCAGAGGCAAAAACCAUCAUCGGUCGCGAAUUAGAGAAACCCACCGCCGCCGUCACCACUAACAAUCAGAACCACCACCAUCAAUAUCGCUAGCGAAAUAGAGGCAAAAGCCUUCUGUAAAAAGCGACGAGACCGAUUGUUUUCUUUAACCCACAUCAACAGGACAUACAUCUUAUGAAUCCCUCCGUUCUAAUCUUUCGUUCUCUCUCUAAACAGUUCAUUUUCCUUCAUUUUCUCUAUCUAGAAAGGGAUCCCUCUAUUCUGUCUUCAAUUCUGCUCUUUAGUAAGAGAAGAAAAUCAAAACAAUGGAAGAGAAGUCCUUCGCCUUCGAAUCGAACCAUGACGAAAUGACCGAGAUCGCAUUCACGGAUGACAAAAGGUCACGUACACCAAGCGGCAAAGAAAAGGUGGAGCAAAACCGUCAGAUGUCGGCAAUAUCUUUCCCAACGGAUCCGCUGCAGCCGGCGGUGACAAGGUUUUCCGGUCACUCGAGAAGCAGUAGGAGGAGCGUUGCCACAGUAUAGAAUCUCAAAGAACAGCAGCUUCUGCCUCGUAUGCGGAACCGAUCAGAUCGAAGAUUCGAUCCGAUGACAAAGAGGACGAUAGCAAUGCCGAAUUAGCCGGUGGUGUUGUCGAGAACGGGAAAACGGAGGAGAAGAAGUUAAAGCUGAAGAAGCCGAAAGUUAGUAUUGUCGAAGUCGCGUGUAGGUGUGGCGGUGGUGGGUAAGGGGAUUACAGAAUAUUGAGUGGGAUUAUUUUUCUCAAUUAACAGGUAAAUAUGACUUUUGAAAUUUUUAGGGUGUCAAUGUAAACCAGUGGAUUGACCGCUGCAUUGAGUGUCAUUGACCCAAUCUCAAGAGAUGUGAGUAUAAUUUAUCCAAAAUUUUAUGUAGGUGGUACUUCACUUUUCACUGGCACUUUAAAAUUCAAAAACCACAACACCUUACUUUAUUUUAUUCACCAAGUUUUGAAACAUACCAAACAUGUCUCAUUGAAUUUUCAAAGUAGUUUUUAUUUUAAAAAAGGAAGUUAGAAAUUUUGCUUAAUUUAAAGAUUGUUUCCAAACAACAAAUAAAUAAAAUGAAUUUAUAGGAUAACAUUUUUACCCUUGACAUCUCUAUAGCAACAACAACUAAGCCUUUUUCCAUUGAGCCUUAACAAAUGUACAAUAACAACAACUAAGCCUUUUUCCAGCGACAUUAUGCUAUAUUCAAGCUCAAAACCUCAGUUAUUCCUCAUGCUAUCAUAUCUUUCUUUAUUAACGCGUUGACUUUGGUCUUCCUUUGCCCCUAGUAUUAUCCUCAAUGUGGACUAUGUCAUUUUUUUUUACCAGCGCACUCAAAGGCAUUCUUUACACAUGUCCAAACCAUCUUAUCUCUAUUUUUCUCAUCUUAUUUCCAAUUGCUAUUAGUCCAACCAUCUCUUAAAUGUAAUCAUUUCUGAAUCUAUUCUUUCUAGUCUUACUGCACAUCCAUAUCAACAUUCACAUUUCUGUCACAUUCAACCUUAGUAUCUGUAUAAAGACAUGUUCUCAUUGACUAAACAAAAAUGACAUGAUUAUCCUUAUUGUUAAUAUGUUGAUUAAACGAACCACGGUAGCAAAUAACAAUGGUGGUUUUUUUUUGUGAACUCGUUAUUUGCCGAAAAGUUUUUCACUUAGUCAGAAUUAAGAAAAAAAAUUGGUAGAUUUAUUUAUUAAUGUUAAUUAUAAAACAUCACAAAUACUGGGAAAAUUUUAAAAAUGUGGUUGUAGCUAAAAUUCUCAUAUUACAGUAGCCGUCAUCAGGGCCAAAAAACAUUCACUGACACUAAUCUGUUAUGGUCAACGUUUGUUAACGGGAGGAUAAUGCUGUUCAAGCCUCUGUGCUUGUGGCAGAGGCUGACGCCACUUAUCACAUCUUAUCUCUACUAACCAACUUGUUAGAACUUAUUCAACACUGGCAGGUAUUAUUUGCUUUGCACCCUUUAAUGCUUGCAAUUAGGGUUGGCAAUUUGUGCUCACAGGUCAUAAUCGUGUCGUGUCGAUGUAAGGAUAUUCUACUAGGUAAGUCAGUACCCGACCCGUUUAAUAAUCGUUUAUUUAUAAUUAUAAAUAAAUAAAUAAAUAUAUAUAUAUAUAUAUAUAUAUAUAUAUAUAUAUAUAUAUUGUAAGUCUCAAUCCAACCAAAUUACUAAACGGGUAUUAAUAAGUUACAUGAGUUAAACCCCUCAACCCUAACACGACACGAUUAAUUAAUCGAGUUAAUUGUGUCAACCCGUUUAUGACCUAAAUCCGAUUGAGGUUAACCCAAACCUGCCUCCUAAUAAGUGUUAGUAAUCAAUUUCUUCCCUCGUGGCAAUAAGGGACGUCACAAUCAUCAUUUUUUACGCCCAGCAUCUUUACUGAUCUAACUUACAUGGGCUUGUGCAUGCCUAGGGGUGGCAAAAAUUCCCAAUCCGGUGGGCAACCGCCCCGCCACCGCCCCGUUUAAAACGGGUUCAAAGAACCGUUUACUUAAAUGGGUGGGGAUGGGGGUUUAAAAAAAAAACCCCUACCGGUUUCAAGGCGGGGGCAGGGGACUCAGGUCCCCGCCCCGAAUCCGCCCCAAAACCGGCCCCGAUUAAUAAAUGAAAAUAUUUUAUUAUAAUUUUAUAAACACUAUACUGCUUUCACUUUCAAACUUUUUAUAUUCCUAAAGAUUUCUUUCGGACUUUCUAUAUUUCUAAUGAUUUUUUUUAGACUUUCUAUAUUUCUAUACAGCUUUCUAAUGAUUUCUUUCAAACUUUCUAUAUUCCUAAUGAUUUCUUUCAGACUUUCUAUAUUCCCAAUGAUAGUAAGGCGGCAUAUUAUAUAUUCCCAACGGCACGGAGAUUUUAUAAAGCAAUUAGCAGGUAUUCCUACAGGCUACAGUCUUACCGUUCUACACUCCUUCCUGCCUCCUUCACCGACCAUCUUGAUUCACUGCCUGAGCCCACUUUCGCCUGAGCCGACGCCCCCUAUUUUUGCAGAUAUUUUUUCUCAAUCACAGGUUAGUUCAAACAAUAAGAUCCAUCAAUUGAUACUAUUUUAAGCCAAAAAAAAUUUCUUGCAAUUUUUUGGUUCGGAUUUGAAGUUUUUCUUGCAAUAGGGUGUCAUAUCCAUGUUUUUUUACUUAUUUUUUUUUCAAAUUCUAAAUAGAGUGCAAAUUUUGGUAUCAUAUAUAUCAAAUGGGAAAAUUCAUUACUGUCACGAAUCAUUAAUAUAUUUUGAUGUUAUGUGAGAUGUUAUAUAUAUAUAUAUAUAUAUAUAUAUAUAUAUAUAUAAUGAUUGUGAUAUUGUCUUUUUUGCAUAAAGGUCAAAUAAAUGGUAGUAGAAGUUUGUUGAAAAUGAUAAUGGCCCCAAAUAGUCUUGACGUUUUCAUUUUGGCAAUGCAAUUAUAUAAUAUAAUAUAUUAAUAUAUUAUAAUACAAUUAACAUAGAUACAUAUAUGUGUGCGUCAGUGUGUGUAUAUAUAUAUAUAUAAUUUUGUAUUGUUUAUUUAUUUGUAUGUAUGUCUGUGGAAUUUUUAUAUCUUUCUACUAAUUUUAUAUUUUGGUCUGCAUUUUUUUAUAUCUAAAAACAACAAGUUGAAAGAUGUUGGAGUCGGAGUUGGAGGGAAAAUUUGUGACUUCUCAACCUCAAAAUAUAGUUACAGAACUACAGAGCCUUCAACAAUGCUAAUUUAACUCCAGUUGUCUUCUCAUUUGUUGAUGUCCCUGAUGAAGAUGUAGCAGAUGAUACAAGUAGGAAGAGAAAAUUGCCGUCAAUUGUUUGGAAUGACUUUUCUAGGGAAACAAUUGAUGGUAUACAAUAUGGUGUUUGCAAUCAUGGUAAAAAAAAAGUUGAAAGCACCACCUAGUUAUGGAACAAGUAGCUUGCGUGAUCAUUUAAAAAGGUGUAUGGGACAUAAAAAAAAAUGGUGACUUGAGACAAUAUGUUUUGCAAGGCAAUCUUAAAAAGAUUGAAGGUCAAGUGAAUCAAGUGGAAUAUCGUAAUUUUGUGUUUGAUCAAAAUAUCUCCCGACAUGAGGUUGCUUGCAUGAUCAUAGUACAUGAGUAUUCCCUUGCCAUGGUUAACCAUUGUCGCUUUCGAAAUUUUGUUAAUAGCUUUCAACCUAUGUUUAACAUGGCUUCUCAAAACACAAUCAAGAGUGACAUCUUAAAUAUCUACAAUUCCGAGAAGGCUAAAACAUUAACAUUUAUGGAGAGUCUUAAUUGUAGGGUUGCAAUCACUUCUGAUAUGUGGACUUGCAACCAUUCAAAGAAAGGUUUCAUGGCAGUAACAGCUCACUUUAUCGAUGACUCAUGGAGAUUGCAAUGAAGAAUUUUGAGGUAAUUUUAAUUUAAUUUUUAAUAUGUUUAUUUUUUUUUCAUAAUUUUAAUAUGUUUAUUGUUUAUUUCAUAUAAUGCAAUAUAUAUGUUUAUUGUUUAUUUCAUAUAAUGCAAUUUUUUGUUUCACUUCAUAUAUGCUUAUUAAUUAUGCAUAUUUUCAUUUUAUUAUGUUUUAGAUUUACCUAUGUGCCUGCUCCACACAAUAAGAAAGUUCUUUCUCAGUUACUUAUUGAUACCAUGUUAGAUUGGAAUUUUGAUAAAAAUUUGUCCACCAUUACCUUAGAUAAUUACACCACAAAUGAUGCCAUCAUUGGUUCUAUCUUAGACAAGGUUGAUUCAAGUACAUUUUUACUUGAUGGGAAGAUUCUUCAUAUGAGAUGUUGUGCACACAUCUUGAACUUGAUUGUGAAAGAUGGGUUAGAAGUAAUGGGGGAUGGAAUUAAAAGGAUACGUGAUAGUGUGUAUUUUUGCACAGCAACACCAAGUAGACUUGAAAAGUUUGAAUAGGCAGCUCGCCAAUUGAAGAUUCCAUAUAAGAAAAAGUUAGCUAUGGAUUGUAAAACCCGUUGGAACUCUACAUAUCUUAUACUUCAAGUCGUUUUAAUAUAUAAAGAUGUGUUUCCACGGGUAAAGCAACGCGAUAGGCUUUACACUAAAGUUCCAACUAAUGAAGAUUGGGAAAGGGGGAAAGAAAUUUGUGCGAAGUUGAAAUUAUUCCACACUACUACAGAGUUGUUUUCUUGGUUUUCUUAUCCUACUUCAAAUUGUUAUUUCCAAAGAGUUUGUGAAAUCAGAGUUGCAUUGUCUACUUGGCUUGAAGGCCCACUUGAGAUCAUUAGAGUGAUGGCAUCAAAAAUGUUGGUUAAAUUUGAGAAAUAUUGGAAUGUUUGUCAUGAGGUGAUAACGGUGGUGGUGGUUUUAGAUUCACGAUACAAGAUGAAGCUAGUUGAAUAUUAUUUUAAUAAAAUUUAUGGACAAGAAGCAUUGGUUGAAGUUCAAAGAGUUCAACAAAUUUGUAUUGAUUUACUUUUCGAGUACCAAAACAAGUCAAGCUCAAAUAAAAGUAGCGUGGGUGGUUCAUCUUCCAAUAUUACUUCUCUUACUGAACAAGUGGAAGUUGUGGAGGAGGAUGAUUUGUUAAAGUUUGACUGAUUUGUAGACUCGAGUUCAUAUGAAGUGCAAACAAUGACUGAGCUGGACUUUUACUUGGAAGAAAAAGUGUUACCUAGAGAAAUUGAUUUUGAUGUCUUGGGUUGGUGGAAAACUCGUGGAAUUAAGUAUCCUCUUUUGAAAAGGAUUGCUCGGGAUAUCUUAGUUAUCCCGGUGUCUACAGUUGCAUCGGAGUCUGCUUUUAGCACCGGUGGUAGAUUGGUCAGUCCUCAUCGUAGUGACUUCAUCCAACUACUUUGGAGGCUUUGAUGUGUGCUCAAAGUUGGCUCUUGAGUGAAGAGAAUGGACCGAAUGGAGCUCAUUCAGACAAAAAGACUCAUCCAAUGGCAAUAUAUUUUGUGAUUGUGAUGAAAAUGAUUCUCCAAAUUAUGAAGUUUUGGACUAAGAUUAGGUUGGUGACAAUUGGUGGUUUUGAAGAGAUUACAGAGAAUGACUUCAGAUUCAGGCUGUUUAGGCUUAGAUUAUGGCCUACUGUUUUGAAUAGUUUUAUUCCUCUUAAUUAAGGCUAUUGUUGGAAACUCUUAUGUUUGUUUUUUGGCUAUUUUUUUGGAAUUUCUUUUUUCUUGGAAAAAUGUUAUUUUUGGUUGAUUAAUGAUGAUGUUGGAUGAUGUUGCUUGAAAUAUCAAAUUUAUGUGGAUCUAUUAGGGAUUUUAAGAUUUAUGUGGUUUUGUUACAGAAC